rnacentral:rRNA from 1 species
GACGAACGCUGGCGGCGUGCCUAACACAUGCAAGUCGAACGGAAAGGCCCUGCUUUUGUUGGUUGCUUGUUUGGCGAACGCGUGAGUAACACGCGAGUAACCUGCCCUUGUCUUUCGGAUAACUUCACGGAACUGCGGCUCUUAUCGCAUAUGAUCUUCUGCUGCAUGUUGUUGGUUGGUAAGUUUCGGCGGUUGUGGAUGGACUCGCUGCUUAUCCGCUUCUUUGUGGGGUAGUGGCUUACCAAGGCUUUGACGGGUAGCCUGCCUGAGAGGGUUACCGGCCACAUUGGGACUGAGAGACGGCCCAGACGCCUACGGGAGGCAGAAGUGGGGAAUAUUGCACAAUGGGCGGAAGCCUGAUGCAGAAACGCCGCGUGCGGGAUGACGGCCUUCGGGUUGUAAACAGAUUUCGAAUGUGACGAAGAGUGAGUGACGGUAAUGGGUAAAGAAGCACCGGCUAACUACGUG